CCUACGGGGUGUAGCAGUGAGGAAUAUUGGUCAAUGGGCGGGAGCCUGAACCAGCCAAGCCGCGUGAGGGAAGAAGGUACAGCGUAUCGUAAACCUCUUUUGUCAGGGAACAAAGGCGGGGACUAGUCCCCGGAUGAGGGUACCUGAAGAAAAAGCAUCGGCUAACUCCGUGCCAGCAGCCGCGGUAAUACGGAGGAUGCGAUCGUUAUCCGGAUUUAUUGGGUUUAAAGGGUGCGCAGGCGGCCUGUUAAGUCAGCGGUAAAAGCCCGGGGCUCAACCCCGGCGAGCCGUUGAAACUGGCGGGCUGGAGUUGGAGAGAAGUACGCGGAAUUCCUGGUGUAGCGGUGAAAGGCGUAGAUAUCAGGAGGAACACCGGUGGCGAAGGCGGCCUGCUGGACUGCAACUGACGUUGAGGCCCGAAAGCGUGGGGAGCAAACAGGAUUAGAUACCCGAGUAGUC
rnacentral:rRNA from 1 species